rnacentral:rRNA from 1 species
AUGGAUAUGUGCAGGAUGGUGGCGUUGUCUAACGCCGUGGUGGCAUUGACGAUAGGCCUGGCAUGGUGGAUGCGUCAGUACCUGCUCUGGAGAUGGAUCGACAUCGACAGAAGACGGCGGCGGCUGCAAGCUGAGAUCGUUAAUACGGAUGUUAAUUAUGUCGAGAUUGCUUGCAGAUCAGCGGCGUCAGGUCUGGAGAUGCGGAUGCCCCUACAUAGCGUGGCGCCAGUGGCACGUCGGGGAUCCUUCAUCACCCAAGGAACAAACGCAAUCGGCACUACUACAUUACUGCAGUCUGCACAUGCUGUGUUGAGGGGAUUGGAGGAAUUGGUAGCACGCCAUAAAAUUUUGCUUACCUUCUCUAAAAUCAUGCUUGUUUCAUUCAUUGCUUCACAUCACCAAGUUAUUGGUGCGAUUGAGUCCAAGCUUGUUUGCACUACUGGAUGCCGCUCCAUUUAA